rnacentral:tRNA from 1 species
GGAGAGGUCGCAUAGUGGUCUAGUGCGCACGCUUGGAAAGCGUGUGUACCGCAAGGUACCCAGGGUUCGAAUCCCUGUCUCUCCG